CAGGGGUGAGGCGUCUAUGGGCAGGAGGCCACAUGUCGGCUCCGGUCUUCUUAGUGUCGAUUCCCUCUUACGGACAAAUGGGGCAAUGACCAGGCUUCACAAACUGCCGCUGGGAAUACAAGAAAAUGCAGUGUUUCCCAGGUAUCUCUCGUCUCUUCCUGCAUUUGUGGCGAUCACUACCAACGACGACGAUGACGAUGCAGUCAGUGAAG